GCUUAACACAUGCAAGUCGAGGGGUAUUAGUUUUCGGACUAAGAGACCGGCGCACGGGUGCGUAACGCGUAUGCAAUCUACCUUUUACAGAGGGAUAGCCCAGAGAAAUUUGGAUUAAUACCUCAUAGUAUAGCAGUUUCGCAUGAAACCACUAUUAAAGUCACAACGGUAAAAGAUGAGCAUGCGUCCCAUUAGCUAGUUGGUAAGGUAACGGCUUACCAAGGCUACGAUGGGUAGGGGUCCUGAGAGGGAGAUCCCCCACACUGGUACUGAGACACGGACCAGACUCCUACGGGAGGCAGCAGUGAGGAAUAUUGGACAAUGGGCGCAAGCCUGAUCCAGCCAUGCCGCGUGCAGGAUGACGGUCCUAUGGAUUGUAAACUGCUUUUGUACGAGAAGAAACACUCCUAUGUAUAGGAGCUUGACGGUAUCGUAAGAAUAAGGAUCGGCUAACUCCGUGCCAGCAGCCGCGGUAAUACGGAGGAUCCAAGCGUUAUCCGGAAUCAUUGGGUUUAAAGGGUCCGU
rnacentral:rRNA from 1 species